AGGCGUCGGAGAUGCGCAGUUUCAGGAGAACUACGGCGCUGCUUACGGCGCCCCAAUGUACGGGGAAGGCGCAGUGGCUGCGCCUCCUCCUACGGCGGG